GACGAACGCUGGCGGCGUGCCUAAUACAUGCAAGUUGAGCGAUGAAGAUAGGUGCUUGCACCAAUUUGAAGAGCAGCGAACGGGUGAGUAACGCGUGGGGAAUCUGCCUUUGAGCGGGGGACAACAUUUGGAAACGAAUGCUAAUACCGCAUAACAACUUUAAACAUAAGUUUUAAGUUUGAAAGAUGCAAUUGCAUCACUCAAAGAUGAUCCCGCGUUGUAUUAGCUAGUUGGUGAGGUAAAGGCUCACCAAGGCGAUGAUACAUAGCCGACCUGAGAGGGUGAUCGGCCACAUUGGGACUGAGACACGGCCCAAACUCCUACGGGAGGCAGCAGUAGGGAAUCUUCGGCAAUGGACGAAAGUCUGACCGAGCAACGCCGCGUGAGUGAAGAAGGUUUUCGGAUCGUAAAACUCUGUUGGUAGAGAAGAACGUUGGUGAGAGUGGAAAGCUCAUCAAGUGACGGUAACUACCCAGAAAGGGACGGCUAACUACGUG
rnacentral:rRNA from 1 species